AUAUCACAAUUCGUCAGGUUAGAAUUAUUUUGUCCUAUGUCCUAUUACCAAAAAGUGGACAUAGGACAAAAUAAUUCUAACCUGACGAAUUGUUGACU
rnacentral:miRNA from 1 species